UACGGAGGGUGCAAACGUUGCUCGGAAUCAUUGGGCGUAAAGCGCACGUAGGCGGUCCGGUAAGUCGGAUGUGAAAUCCCUCGACUCAACCGAGGAAGGGCAUCCGAAACUGCCGGGCUUGAGUACGGAAGAGGGUCUCGGAAUUCCCGGUGUAGAGGUGAAAUUCGUAGAUAUCGGGAGGAACACCAGUGGCGAAGGCGGAGACCUGGGCCGAUACUGACGCUGAGGUGCGAAAGCGUGGGGAGCAAACAGG
rnacentral:rRNA from 1 species